rnacentral:tRNA from 1 species
CCGGAUGGCCGAAAGUGGUUAAGGCGCUUGGACUUAAGAUCCAAUGGACGGAUGUCCUCGUGGGUUCGAACCCCACUCCUGGUA